rnacentral:tRNA from 1 species
GGUCCCGUAGUCUAGCGGUUAGGACAUUGAACUCGGAAUCCCGUAACGUCAGUUAAAAUCUCGCCGGAACCU